UGUGGCUAAAUCCCAUUAGCUUCCCAACCAGCGGAGCCAACUGGUAUAUUAAGGAUUUGCCAUAUCCCGUCGGCAUAAGUUCAAAUACGUCUUUCUUCUCAAUGAAACACUUCAGUGCCGUCCUUUGUUUAUCUUUCAAGUUGAAUUUUAGCUUCAAAUCUUUAAGGGCUGUGGCCAAAGCCGAGUCGAAAGAUAACUGUUUAUUGUGCGCCGGCUGUUUCUGUCAGAAUCGUCACGCCUCUGUCGUCACUUAGUUACGCCCGCCUUCUGACUCUACACUUCAUGGUGAUUCGUCCGGCCAGUUUUAGGAGAAUCCAGCCUCGAGCCUUAUGGAGGGUAACUAGACCCACCCUGGCAGAGAAUUAAAUUCGUUGCCGUGGGUUGUCUAGCGCGGCUAGGCUAAGGCACCGCUCCAUCGUGCUCAGAUUCGGAAGCUACCGUAUGAAAGAGGAGGUGCUCAGGCGGGAAUGGCAGAAGAAAGAGCUGCUGUGUGACAAUGUACGGUUUUACGUUGACAAUGACUUUCCUCCAGAGGUUCUGAAGAAACACAGUGAGUACACUGAAGCCAAGAGAGUCCUGAGAGCUAAAAACAUUAACACCAUAUCCUGCAAAGAUACGAAUCUUUUAUCCAGACGGCAACAGACUGUUCCAAGACGCUACGGAGGCGACCAAAGACAUGGCUUCACGAGGGUACCCAGUCAACGUGGUUAAGCCCACAGCUGAUCCAACCCAGAGGAACUCCAACACCUGUCCACCUGGCAAACAGCGGAGAUGCGGAGCCCGACACGGAGGACUGAGACAACCCACGGCUUAAGAAAAAUCAGCGUUUCGAGUAUAAGAAAAGCUCAAAGAAUUCAGAAGGCAAUCCCCUAUGGACAAAGACUGGUGAUCUAUAGUCCCUUUAAUAUGAAGACCUUAUCUGCAGCCUUGGAAGGAAGCCGGAGUACCCGGAGAAAACCCACACGUGCACAGGGAGAACAUGCAAACUCCAUGCAGAAAGAUCCCAGGCCCAGGCCGGGAUUUGAACCGGGGAUCUUCUUGCUGCAAGGAAAAAGUUAGUAAUCAGGAUUCCCCUGAUUGUCCAACCACCACAGUCUCAAGUCCAGCUGAGGAAAACACCAAAAAGACUUGGUGAUUUGGCAGAUGGCUCUGUCAUGUCAAGAAAACCAGGAAUCAAGUGAUUCAAGUGAUUCCAAUAGAUAAAGACACGGACGAGAUUGUUGACACCGGCUGUAAGGACUUGUCUCCUAAAAUCCCUGUCUUUGAGACGGCCAUAGCAGAAAGUGUCAGCGAAAAGGACCAGGAGGUUUCACCCGCCACCACCACUGCAGGGACGGCGGCAAGGAAGAUGGCGUGGGACACGACGGUGACGACGGAGAAGAAGAAGACACCGUGGUGGCGCCAGUUUUGUCAUGUUUCCUUAAGCGAAAAGGACCAGGAGGUUUCACCCGCCACCACCACUACAGGGACGGCGACAAGGAAGAUGGCGUGGUGACACGACGGUGACGACGGAGAAGAAGAAGACACCGUGGUGGCGCCGGUUUUGUCAUGUUUCCCUAAGUGUCAACGAAAUGGACCAGGAGUUUUCACCCAUCAUCACCACCACUGGUUUUGUCAUGUUUCCUUAAGGAAGUGUCAAUAGCUUUGUGUUGUUAUUAUCUGUCUGUCUGUCUGUCUGUCUGUCUGUCUGUCUGUCUGUCUGUCUGUCUGUCUGUCUUCUGUCUGUCUGUCUGUGU